GGAAGCACAGGGUGCCUGAAUGGGAAGGUGAACAGUCCUGGGUCAGUCUCUCAAUUAUUGCUAAUUGAUGGAAGAAGACAGAGAGAGUGUGUCUUCGUUUUUAAAAAGCUACCUCCGUUCUCGCGCCACUGCACUCCAGCCUGGGUGACAGAGCGAGACUCCGUCUCAAAGCAAACAAACAAACAAACACGAAAGUACCUCAGUUUAUCAUCUAACAGUCCAGCCUGACUCCCUCAGGAGGAUAUUGCCUGUGACAUUUUUUUUUAACCUUGGGGAGCUGGGAGAGAAUGAAAUUAUAAAGGACGUGGCAAAGGACAAGGGACAAGGAGGGGUAAACAACUGCAUGUCUAAAUAAAGAACAAAACUCAAUGUGAUAUGUAUUCUACACACACACACACACUUUUCCAUCACUACUACACUUUCAAUUUCAGUGACACCAUGGGAACAUAGCUAUGGGAACAUACCUUUGUGGCUAGCAAAUUCAGAGAUGGAAAUAUUUUGCAUAUGUGUUCUGAGUGAAGUCUGGCAUUUUAUAUGGCCUUUUGCACUUCUUACCAGAGCCUGCAAACCGCUGGGGGAAACUUGCUGAAUCUCUGUUCGCUAACCGCCUAGCCUCUGUUAACCACAGAAACUGAGUUCAGCACCUGGGACAGCUCUAAGCAAUGAGGGUUUAUGACGCCACCUUCCGGCAAAUGUUUUAGAGUGCCACCUAGAAACCCUUAUGCAGAAAUUAAGCAAGUAUUGAGGAAAUCCAACAACUUCUAGAAAGAGAAGACGGUUAUUAAAAGGCAAGCAGGAUGGUGAUGCCAGCUACCUUGCUUCUGAAAUAUCUACCUGGGAUGGAGUGAUAGUAACACCUUCAGAAAAGGCUUAUGAGAAGCCACCAGAGAAGAAGGAAGGAGAGGAAGAAGAGGAGAAUACAGAAAAACCACCUCAAGGAGAGGAAGAAGAAAGCAUGGAAACUCAGGAGUGACUUUCCCUUCCCUUGACUGGAGCCUAAGCUCGCUGCUACUGGGCUUUACAUGGUGGUAGACAUUUCCGAGGGAUAGGGAAGAUAACAGGAAGGAAAGUAAACUCCAGAGAAGUGUCAUUCCACUGGGUUUUGAUAUUGGCCUGGCAGCCAGUUUCCCAUUUGUGCCCUAUGCCAUCCAUCUAUAAUGAAUGAGGAUACCAACAUUUCUUCCCAAUACUCUAGGAUCCCCAAGUCCUGAAAACCCCUCUCUCAACUAAUAUUUUGCUGUUGAAAUGUUGUGAACUGUUAAGUGUCUGGAAAUUUUUUUUCUAAAAAAAAUGAUUAAAUUACUUCCUAGUAGG